rnacentral:misc_RNA from 1 species
GAUGAAGAACGCAGCGAAAUGCGAUAAGUAAUGUGAAUUGCAGAAUUCAGUGAAUCAUCGAAUCUUUGAACGCACAUUGCGCCCCUUGGUAUUCCGAGGGGCAUGCCUGUUCGAGCGUCAUUAUAACCCCUCAAGCUCAGCUUGGUGUUGGGGCCUGCUGCACUGGCAGCCCUUAAAAUCAGUGGCGGCGCCAUCUGGCUCUAAGCGUAGUAAUUCUUCUCGCUAUGGAGUCCUGGUGGAUGCUUGACAUCAACCCCCAAUUUUUCUAUGGUUGACCUCGGAUCAGGUAGGGAUACCCGCUGAACUUAAGCAUAUCAAUAAGCGGAGGA